rnacentral:rRNA from 1 species
CGUUCCCGGGCCUUGUACACACCGCCCGUCACACCAUGGGAGUGGGUUGCAAAAGAAGUAGGUAGCUUAACCUUCGGGAGGGCGCUUACCACUUUGUGAUUCAUGACUGGGGUGAAGUCGUAACAAGGUAACCGUAGGGGAACCUGCGGUUGGAUCACCUCCUUACCUUAAAGAA